GUCACAGAAAGGGGCGGGGGAAGUGUCAAUCAGAAGCUGCCCCUUGGAAUUGCAGGACAAGGUCAGUGACAUGAGAUUCUGACCAGAUUCAUGUCAAACAGGUUUGAUCGCUUAGCCACCGUUAGAAAGCAGCUAACGUUGACCUCCAGUCCAGCAGAGGUCGCUGCUCGCUCCGCGCCGUGCUUCGCUCGCCUCUACGCAAACUAUCGUUGACGCGGAAGUCGGGGUCUGUAUUUACCUCCAGCUGACUCUUUGUUUGCUCUGGGACUCGAACUGCGAACGGAACAGGACGAUGUGCGCCGUGCAGCUGAUGCGGGUGUCAGUACAUGAGCGGAUCAGCGCCGCGGCCGAGGACUUCCUGCUGCAGGUGGACAAAGGGCCGGAAGCGGCUCGUGUCCUGCUGCUGAGGCCGCUGCUCCUCGAGCGGCUGAAGGCGGCGGCGGAGGAGAUCGUCGGCCUGUUCGAGGAAACCGUGGCGGAGUACGAGGACAUCGUGCAGCGGUCGGAGCGGGAGAUCUGCCGCCAGAGGAGGCUGCUCGAUGCCGUGUUGAAGCCCGAAGUCAGGCUGCACCGAGCAGACGUCCAGCAACUAAAGGUGAACGAGGAAGCGGUUCCUUCUGAGUAUCAGGAUUGGAUCCCCAGUGUGGACCAGGAGGACUCAAAACCCCCCCACAUCAAAGAGGAACAGAAUGAGCUGUGGAUCAGUCAGGAGGGAGAGCAGCUUCAAGAACUGGAGCAGACUGACAUUAUCAAGUUCACAUUUACUCCUGACACUGUGAAAACUGAAGGAGAUGAGGAGAAACCUCAGUCCUCACAGCUUUAUCAGGGUCAGACUGAAGAGGACAGAAAGGACUGUGGAGGACCAGAACCAGCCAGGAACUCUGGUCCUGAUGUACAUUUACAACCAUGUCCUGAGGACACGACCAUAAACACUGAUGUUGAUGGGAUAGAGACCAGGGAACCUAAGCCUAUGCACCCGUCUAUAAUCAGGAGUGGACGACAGUUAGUGAGCACAUCCCACCACGGUUUUGAACAGUUUGGUUGUCCUCUGUGCCCGAAAUUCAUCACCUCACGAGGCGACACGAUACGGAGACACCUGAACGCCCACGUACAUAAUGCAGUGCAUCUCCAAGACAUCAUCAUUUGCCGAUGCAACAUGUCGUGCAGAGGCACUGGUCAUUACCACUGUCCAAACUGCGCUAAGACAAUCAUGCGCAGAGAAGAUAUGGUGUUACAUGUGACUGGAUGCAAGAGAACAAGUGAUGUAACACCAACGCCAGGUGAAACAACCUCCUUGGUCUCACACCCAUCACGGACACCUAGAGCUGAUAUCAGCCCACCUGCACUAUCCCCAUCAUUGGUGUUCAUUCCAAGCAUUUGCUUCACAAGAGAUGUCAGCACAUGCUUCAGGAUACACAAAACCUGAUUCGGAGAGUUGAACCUUCUGGAUUUUGUCACAGAUGUCAUGCCACCAGGGUGCCUCCACACCCCCAGCAGACCAUGGUGUACAACACUGCAGAUGUCUCCACAGUGUCGUAAAAAGUCCUCAACAGUGUCCUGCCCACUUGGAAGGACCUCAGUCCCCUCAGCAGAUGGAGACGACUCUGGCCCUUCUACUGCACGACGUCUGUGUUGGUGGACCAGUCCAGCACAGAGUGAGCUGACCUGCAGGAUGAGCUUCAACUGGAAGAAACUGUCAAUAAGGUGAAGGAAAAUGUUCUUUAGAAUUAUUCACAGAUAUUAACCUGCCAAUCACUACAUAGUGAAUUUCAAAAGACAUAAACUUUACCUCAUUGAUUUAUUGAUAUGGCUUGAAGUCUUGAUACUUGUAAAUCAGUCAUUUUUACUGUAUCAAUUAACAGAAACUACAAAUUCAAUAUCCCACAUAAGUAGUUAGACAAAGAAGUAUAUGUGGAAUAUACCUUAAAUAUUGUGGGCCGUAGUAUAUUCCACAACAUGAGAUAACGCACGAUCAUCAUUUACAUCUGAACAUGAAUCACAAUGAAAUGAGGCAAUUUACCCGUGAGUGACAUUUUUCUAUAGACAACAUAAACAGCAGCAGAUGAAUUAAACUUCAUCCUCACAAGAAGUAAACAGUAAACAAAAUUGUAUUUGGGUGGAAUAAGCCUUUAAAACCAUAGGGUCAAGAAAUGUGGUCCUCACCCUCCAGUAUUGCAGGAAGAUAAUAUGGCCCAGCAGGGGGCAGUAGCGUAUCAAAAAUGUGUGCCGGAUGUUUGACCUGUUACUUUUUUUAAAUAAGCGAAUAGACGGUAAAUAACAGUAAUCCAAUGGUUUAAAACCAAUCCAGUGGCAAACAUCUCUACGUCUGAGGUUAAAGGGUUAAAGCCUUCCUUUUUGAUAAAGCUUCUAGUUAGAGUUGGUUCAGGUUUGUCUUGGACCAGCUCUGUUAUGCUGCUAUAGGUCUAGAAUGUCAGGGGACACAGGACACAUGCAGCUUCUCCUUCCUCCUCCCCCUCUUCAUCACACCUAUAUGUGGCAUCAGUUCAUGUUACUGACUUAACUUCUUCCCUGGCAUCCGUGUGCCAGGAGAUCCAGGAUCUCGGCUGCAGCGACAUCGCAGAUUGUGAUGGUGGAUCAUGGAUUGUGGUGGCAUCUGAUGGUGGAUUAUGUUUACACCUAGAUUGCGUAGAUAUACAAUUUGCGUACUCACAUUAUUUGCAAUACCUCUUUCAUUACAGUUUCCAUUGCUGCUCCCUUCAUCUCUGUCAGACUUUUUCUUUGAGUUAUGCACAAUAUCUAUAUCUGUCUGUCCUGGGAGAGGGAUCCC